rnacentral:rRNA from 1 species
AUACGUAGGUGGCGAGCGUUGUCCGGAAUUACUGGGUGUAAAGGGCGUGUAGGCGGGACUGCAAGUCAGAUGUGAAAGCCCAGGGCUUAACCCUGGAGUUGCAUCUGAAACUGUGGUUCUUGAGUGCUGGAGAGGGAAGCGGAAUUCCUAGUGUAGCGGUGAAAUGCGUAGAUAUUAGGAGGAACACCAGUGGCGAAGGCGGCUUUCUGGACAGUAACUGACGCUGAGGCGCGAAAGCGUGGGGAGCAAACAGGAUUAGAUACCCUGGUAGUCCACGCCGUAAACGAUGGAUACUAGGUGUAGGAGGUAUCGACCCCUUCUGUGCCGGAGUUAACACAAUAAGUAUCCCACCUGGGGAGUACGGCCGCAAGGUUGAA